AACGAACGCUGGCGGCAGGCUUAACACAUGCAAGUCGAGCGUCCCGCAAGGGGAGCGGCAGACGGGUGAGUAACGCGUGGGAAUCUACCCAACCCUACGGAAUAACGCAUGGAAACGUGUGCUAAUACCGUAUACGCCCUUUGGGGGAAAGAUUUAUCGGGGAUGGAUGAGCCCGCGUUGGAUUAGCUAGUUGGUGGGGUAAAGGCCUACCAAGGCGACGAUCCAUAGCUGGUCUGAGAGGAUGAUCAGCCACAUUGGGACUGAGACACGGCCCAAACUCCUACGGGAGACAGCAGUGGGGAAUAUUGGACAAUGGGCGCAAGCCUGAUCCAGUCAUGCCGCGUGAGUGAUGAAGGCCCUAGGGUUGUAAAGCUCUGUCCUCUGGGACGAAUAAAGCGACGGUACCAGAGGAGGAAGCCCCGGCUAACUACGUGCCAGCCGCCGCAGUAACAC
rnacentral:rRNA from 1 species